AAAUUGAAGAGUUUGAUCAUGGCUCAGAUUGAACGCUGGCGGCAGGCCUAACACAUGCAAGUCGAACGGUAACAGAAAGCAGCUUGCUGCUUUGCUGACGAGUGGCGGACGGGUGAGUAAUGUCUGGGAAACUGCCCGAUGGAGGGGGAUAACUACUGGAAACGGUAGCUAAUACCGCAUAACGUCGCAAGACCAAAGAGGGGGACCUUAGGGCCUCUUGCCAUCGGAUGUGCCCAGAUGGGAUUAGCUAGUAGGUGGGGUAAUGGCUCACCUAGGCGACGAUCCCUAGCUGGUCUGAGAGGAUGACCAGCCACACUGGAACUGAGACACGGUCCAGACUCCUACGGGAGGCAGCAGUGGGGA
rnacentral:rRNA from 1 species